UACAGAGGUCUCAACCGUUGUUCGGAUUCAUUGGGCGUAAGGGGUGCGUAGGCGGUCGGGUAAGUCGGAUGUGAAAUCCCAGGGCUCAACCCUGGAACUGCAUUCGAUACUGCCUGGCUAGGGUACUGGAGAGGAGACUGGAAUUUACGGUGUAGCAGUGAAAUGCGUAGAUAUCGUAAGGAAGACCAGUGGCGAAGGCGAGUCUCUGGACAGUUACCGACGCUGAGGCACGAAGGUCAGGGGAGCAAACGGG
rnacentral:rRNA from 1 species